rnacentral:rRNA from 1 species
CCUUCAUGAAGCUGGAAUUGCUAGUAAUGGCAGGUCAGCAUACUGCCGUGAAUACGUUCCCGGGCCUUGUACACACCGCCCGUCACACCAUGAGAGUUGGAAAUGCCCGAAGUCAGUGACCCAACCACAACGUGAACUUUGUUCACGUGGAGGGAGCUGCCGAAGGUGGAGCCGGUAACUGGGGUGAAGUCGUAACAAGGUAAC